AGAGUUUGAUCAUGGCUCAGAAUCAACGCUGGCGGCGCGCCUAACACAUGCAAGUCGAACGAGAAAGCGGGAGCAAUCUCGCAAGUAAAGUGGCGUACGGGUGAGUAACACGUGGAUUAUCUGCCCUGGAGUGGGGAAUAACGCUGGGAAACCGGCGCUAAUACCGCAUAUUCCCGAGAGGGGAAAGCAGCAAUGCGCUCGAGGAGGAGUCCGCGGCCGAUUAGCUAGUUGGCAGGGUAAAAGCCUACCAAGGCUAUGAUCGGUAGCCGGCCUGAGAGGGCACACGGCCACACUGGCACUGAAACACGGGCCAGACUCCUACGGGAGGCAGCAGUGGGGAAUCUUGCACAAUGGGGGAAACCCUGAUGCAGCGACGCCGCGUGAGCGAUGAAGCCCUUCGGGGUGUAAAGCUCUUUCGGCAGGGAAGAUUAUGACGGUACCUGCAGAAGCAGCUGCGGCUAACUACGUGCCAGCAGCCGCGGUAAUACGUAGGCAGCAAGCGUUGUUCGGAGUUACUGGGCGUAAAGGGUGUGUAGGCGGCCUAUUAAGUUCCGUGUGAAAUCUCCCCGGCUCAACCGGGGAGGGUGCGCGGAAUACUGACGGGCUAGAGUGCGGGAUGGGAGAGUAGAAUUCCUGGUGUAGCGGUGAAAUGCGUAGAUAUCAGGAGGAAUACCGGUGGUGUAGACGGCUCUCUGGACCGCAACUGACGCUGAGACACGAAAGCGUGGGUAGCAAACAGGAUUAGAUACCCUAGUAGUCC
rnacentral:rRNA from 1 species